UACGAAGGGGGCUAGCGUUGCUCGGAAUCACUGGGCGUAAAGGGUGCGUAGGCGGGUCUUUAAGUCAGGGGUGAAAUCCUGGAGCUCAACUCCAGAACUGCCUUUGAUACUGAAGAUCUUGAGUUCGGGAGAGGUGAGUGGAACUGCGAGUGUAGAGGUGAAAUUCGUAGAUAUUCGCAAGAACACCAGUGGCAAAGGCGGCUCACUGGCCCGGUACUGACGCUGAGGUGCGAAAGCGUGGGGAGCAACAGGG
rnacentral:rRNA from 1 species